rnacentral:rRNA from 1 species
AUUGAACGCUGGCGGCAGGCCUAACACAUGCAAGUCGAACGAGUGGCGGACGGGUGAGUAAUGUCUGGGAAACUGCCUGCUGGAGGGGGAUAACUACUGGAAACGGUAGCUAAUACCGCAUACCAUCAGAUGUGCCCAGAUGGGAUGAGCUAGUGGGUGGGGUAACGGCUCACCAAGGCGACGACCCCUAGCUGGUCUGAGAGGAUGACCAGCAACACUGGAACUAAGACGCGGUCCAGCCUCCUACGUGAGGCAGCGGUGGGAAAUAUUGGGCAAGGGGCGGAAGCCUGAUGCAGCCAUGCCGCGUGUAUGAGGAAGGCCUUCGGGUUGUAAAGUACUUUCAGCGGGGAGGCGUUACCCGAAGAAGAAGCACCGGCUAACUCCGUGCCAGCAGCCGCGGUAAUAC